GCAAGUCGAGGGGCAGCAUUUAUUUAGUUUACUAAAUAAGAUGGCGACCGGCGGACGGGUGAGUAACACGUAUCCAACUUUCCAUUUACUCGGGGAUAGCCUUUCGAAAGAAAGAUUAAUACUCGAUAGUCUACUCUAAUCUCCUGAUUUAGGUAGUAAAGAAUUUCGGUAAAUGAUAGGGAUGCGCUCCAUUAGAUUGUUGGUGAGGUAACGGCUCACCAAGGCAACGAUGCGUAGCCGAGCUGAGAGGCUGAUC
rnacentral:rRNA from 1 species